rnacentral:rRNA from 1 species
GACGAACGCUGGCGGCGUGCCUAAUACAUGCAAGUCGAACGCAGUGGGGACGGGUGAGUAACAAGUGGGUAACCUCCCAUCAGAGGGGAUAACACUUGGAAACAGGUGCUAAACCGAUACUGAUGGUAGGCCCCGCGGGGCAUUAGCUAGUUGGUGAGGUAACGGCUCACCAAGGCCACGAUGCAUAGGCGACCUGAGAGGGUACGUGGCCAGACUGGGACUGAGACACGGCCCAGACUCCUACGGGAGGCAGCAGUAUGGAAUCUUCGUCAAUGGACGAAAGUCUGACCGCGCAACGCCGCGUGAGUGAAUAAGGCUUUCGGAUCGUAAAACUCUGUUGUUAGAGAAGCGGUAUCUAACCAGAAAGCCACGGCUAACUACGUGCCAGCAGUCGCGGUAAUUC